CCCUUAGAUGUUCUGGGCCGCACGCGCGCUACACUGAAGCGUUCAACGAGUAUUCACCUUGCCCGGGAGGGUUGGGUAAUCUUCUUAAAACGCUUCGUGAUGGGGAUAGAUUAUUGCAAUUAUUAAUCUUCAACGAGGAAUUCCUAGUAAGCGCGAGUCAUCAGCUCGUGCUGAUUACGUCCCUGCCCUUUGUACACACCGCCCGUCGCACCUACCGAUUGAAUGGUCCGGUGAAAUCUCGGGACGGCGGCUUGGUCGCUUGCGUCCGACUGCUGAAACUUGAUUAAACCAUAUCAUUUAGAGGAAGGUGAANUCGUANCA
rnacentral:rRNA from 1 species